rnacentral:rRNA from 1 species
CAGCAGCCGCGGGAAUACGGAGGGUGCAAGCGUUAUCCGGAUUUAUUGGGGUUAAAGGGUCCGUAGGCGGAUCUGUAAGUCAGUGGUGAAAUCUCACAGCUUAACUGUGAAACUGCCAUUGAUACUGCAGGUCUUGAGUAAAUUUGAAGUGGCUGGAAUAAGUAGUGUAGCGGUGAAAUGCAUAGAUAUUACUUAGAACACCAAUUGCGAAGGCAGGUCACUAAGAUUUAACUGACGCUGAUGGACGAAAGCGUGGGGAGCGAACAGGAUUAGAUACCCCAGUAGUCCCUGUCUCUUAUAA